rnacentral:rRNA from 1 species
CGGACGGGUGAGUAAUGCCUAGGAAUCUGCCUGGUAGUGGGGGACAACGUUUCGAAAGGAACGCUAAUACCGCAUACGUCCUACGGGAGAAAGCAGGGGACCCUCGGGCCUUGCGCUAUCAGAUGAGCCUAGGUCGGAUUAGCUAGUUGGUGAGGUAAUGGCUCACCAAGGCGACGAUCCGUAACUGGUCUGAGAGGAUGAUCAGUCACACUGGAACUGAGACACGGUCCAGACUCCUACGGGAGGCAGCAGGC